rnacentral:rRNA from 1 species
UACAGAGGGGGCAAGCGUUGUUCGGAAUUACUGGGCGUAAAGGGCGCGUAGGCGGCCUGUUAAGUCGAACGUGAAAUCCCCGGGCUCAACCCGGGAACUGCGUCCGAUACUGGCAGGCUUGAAUUCGGGAGAGGGAUGCGGAAUUCCAGGUGUAGCGGUGAAAUGCGUAGAUACUCUGGAGGAACACCGAUGGCGAAGGCAGCUCACUGGGACGGUACUGACGCUGAAGCGCGACAGCGUGGGAGCAAACAGG